CCCUUUCCUUGCUUUCCCCGCGCGACCCUCGCCUCCCCGCCCUCGCCUUCCCUGGACCCGCGGUUCCCGGGCGGACCCGAGCGGCCCUGGCUGCUCAUGAGCGGCCGCGGGGCCGGCUCGACGCGCAGCGGAGCCGAAGACGCCACCGCCUCCUCGAGAGGAGGCGACACCACGUCGGACCGGGUCACAUGGGGCGGCGCGGGCCCAAGCCGAGACCCGCCCCUCACGCCUGUAUUUCGGGGUGCGAACCCCAACCUGAGCACUGACAUCCCCAUCUUCUGGAGCACCGGGAACAUCGAGUUGAAGCAUAUGUCUUCAAGACUGUAUGGAGGAAGCAAGCUUGAUGGCUCACGUCUGCGAUCCCAAGCAUGAGGCUAAGGCAGAAGGAUGGACAUGAGUUCAAGGCUGGCGUGGCCCACAGAGCAAGAGACUGUCCAAAUUAAAAAGACAGAGACAGACAGGCAGAUUGUUGAAAGGUUCACAGAAAACUCCCACGUAGGUCACAAGAGGAGCCUGUGGCUUCAGGAACCAUCAAGGUUGAACCUCUGCCCUUAAGAGGCCUUUUGGUCCUAGGAGACCUCCUUCCCCAGGUGAUACCUUCUUUCCACAAGCUGCAUACCAGAUUCUUAAAAAACUGCAAGCCAGAAGUUAGAAAGUUCCAUUGCCCUUGGUCUCACAAAGGAUGUCAACCAAGAUCCUCUAGGAGUCCCAGUAUGAUUAAACAAUAUUUAGGGAAGUGAAAACAACCUUCUAGAUCCUGAGUCCAUAGCUCCCAAACCAAGCCAAUCAGGGAUUUUUAGUAGUCGUUACAUAGGGGUCUCACUGUGUUCACUGCUGGCCAGGAGCUCACUAUAUAGACCUGCUUGCCAGGACCAUGACAGCACUCGGAUUAAAGACGUGACCACCAUAAACAGCCUGCUGACUUGC